AGAUGUCUUCGCUGGACUGCAGCUGCCUGGCAAAGCCCAGCUGAUCAGGUUCCUGCUAUUAUUUCUGCAGGAAUCUGUGCCCUAAAGAGCAAUUCCAAGGCAAGCCUCCAGGCUGGAUCCUGGCCAGGCUUCAUGUUGCAGUGUUAAAGGGGCAAGUUCAGUUCAGGGUGGGGACCUUUUUGCUUUGCUCUGUGUUUAAAUCUGGAGUAUUUUGCACUGCACAACUGUUUGAACCCCCAGGCAUGCUGCAAUGAGAAAAGGAUGAAAUAGAGGAAGGCAGCGGAGAAGUAACAGAAAUUCAGCAGUAAAGUAGCAGAUGGGUUCCAGCAGAGUUCUGCUUUGAUUUAUGUCCAGCCAAGCACAUCAGGCCCAGGUUUGGGGCCCGGAGGAGUCCAAACCAGAAGCUGUCUGAGGAGCUCCUCACCAAGAGAGGAGCAGCUGAAUCACCAGCUCUUCGUGGAUAUUCACAAAGGCGGUGGAGGCUGCGGUGAGGACAGAACAUAAAGCAGAUCUACAGAUGCACAGAGCUCCCUUUCAGAAGCCUUUCAUCUAUCAUAUGAUACUUUCUGGUUAAGUGAUCACCUCUGAUUUGUUGAAUCAGAGUCUUAAUCAUGUCCUUGGCAUCAAGCAAAGGAACUGCUAGCAAUAUUAACAGGGUUAUUCAGGACUGGGGGUGGAAGUCCCCGCUGUUUAAAGCAAGAGUUAGACAGUAUUACCACAUGAUCCCCUCACUCAGACUCUUUGAAGUGUUAUGAAAACAUUUUUAAAGCAAUAUUUGCCACAGGGUAGUCACUCACAUUAUAUCAGUCUUACCCCUCCUCUUUUCAUCUGUGAGCACCUCAUUACCAGUGGAUAAUACUGAUGCUGAAAUACCACUUUCCCUUGGGAACAAAACAAUAACUGUGUGUGUCAUUCGAGAAGGAUCUGCUUGGGCCUUUAUGUGCAGCAAUGCAUGGUUAUAAAGCACUUUUGACAGAAAUGUUUGAUUUUGUCGUGUUCUCAGGUCAAGAAAUACCGGUACAACGUGUGAUCAUUUGUUUCCAGUCAGGGCUCUUGAAUGCACAUUUGUUUGCACAAAAAGCAAACAUAUCUGCUCACUAAGGCAGAAAAUAAAAUAAAGAUGCCAGUAACUGCAACAACAGUACUGCUACUAUUACUACAUCUCCAUUUGUCCAGAGACAACAAUGAGUAUUUAUUCCAUGAAAUUAAUGACUUGGCUCUGUAUUUUCCUUUCUCUAGAAUAAGAAUUAACAGGGCUUACGUUGUGAUGUGCUUUAUCAGAACAUGACCUCUUCAAAUCAGCUCAAGAAGUCAAAAUUUGGGCUUGGCAAAUGAUAUCAUUAGUGGAACGGAGGAGAAAAAACAUGACUAAGAGCUACAGAGGGUGUGCAGCCAAGCCCUGGCCUUCUCCAUCAUCAGGGCCACCUGUGCAUUCAUCUCCAACAACAACAGAGCACCCUUCACUGCUGUAAAUAUUCCAUUUUUGGAAAGUAAUUUCUCCAACUCUUACAACUGCUCAUUUUUUUGCUUUGAUUUUGAGAUCAGUGAGUUUCAGUAAAAUACGAAGGGAACAUCCAGAUACAAAUGCAGUCCAAGCCUAUUUUCAAAACGGAGAUACUCUUCCACAAGAGAACGGGACUUUUCAUGCUGUCCCCUGUCCUGGCUCCAUCUCCCAGAACACACGCAAAACAGCCUCCAAAGGACACUGUCCAACACAUCCAAGCCAAAAGGGUGAAGGUCACCCACUGAGGCAACCAAAGGAGGAUAAUGGCAGAGUGGAACAAUCUGAACCCAAGGUAUUUUUAAACUUUAUCAUCAGGGGAGUUAAAACACUGUGCAUAAUGCUAGUUUUUGUCAAGAUUAACUACAGUAUCGUGGGAAAAAAGGGC
ensembl:lncRNA